rnacentral:snRNA from 1 species
GUGCUUGCUUCAUCUGCACAUAUACUAAAUUGGAACAAUAUAGAGAAGAUUAGCAUAGCCUCUNUGCAAAGAUAACACACAAAUUCAUGAAGUGUUCCAUAUUUUU